CCUACGGGAGGCAGCAGUAAGGAAUAUUGGUCAAUGGACGCAAGUCUGAACCAGCCAUGCCGCGUGAAGGAUGAAGGCCCUCUGGGUUGUAAACUUCUUUUACAGGGGACGAAAAAAGGGAAUUCUUUCUCACUUGACGGUACCCUGGGAAUAAGCACCGGCUAACUCCGUGCCAGCAGCCGCGGUAAUACGGAGGGUGCAAGCGUUAUCCGGAUUCACUGGGUUUAAAGGGUGCGUAGGUGGGCAUUUAAGUCAGUGGUGAAAUCUCCGGGCUUAACCCGGAAACUGCCAUUGAUACUAUUUGUCUUGAAUAUUGUGGAGGUAAGCGGAAUAUGUCAUGUAGCGGUGAAAUGCUUAGAUAUGACAUAGAACACCCAUUGCGAAGGCAGCUUACUACGCAAAUAUUGACACUGAGGCACGAAAGCGUGGGGAUCAAACAGGAUUAGAUACCCUGGUAGUCCACGCCCUAAACGAUGGAUACUCGACAUCAGCGAUACACAGUUGGUGUCUGAGCGAAAGCAUUAAGUAUCCCACCUGGAAGUACGACCGCAAGGUUGAAACGUCAAAGGAAUUAGACGG
rnacentral:rRNA from 1 species